ACACCUCCCAGUCUGGAGAUGAGAUGACAUCUCUGUCAGAGUAUGUUUCUCGCAUGAAGGAGACACAGAAGUCCAUCUAUUACAUCACUGGUGAGAGCAAAGAGCAGGUGGCCAACUCAGCUUUUGUGGAGCGAGUGCGGCGGAAGUGGGGCUUCGAGGUGGUAUAUAUGACUGAGCCCAUUGAUGAAUACUACGUGCAGCAGCUAAAGGAGUUUGAUGGGAAGAGCCUGGUCUCAGUUACCAAGGAGGGUCUGGAGCUACCAGAGGAUGAGGAGGAGAAGAAGAAAAUGGAAGAGAGCAAGGCAAAGUUUGAGAACCUCUGCAAGCUCAUGAAAGAAAUCUUAGAUAAGAAGGUUGAGAAGGUGACAAUCUCCAAUAGGCUUGUGUCUUCACCCUGCUGCAUUGUGACCAGCACCUAUGGCUGGACAGCCAAUAUGGAGCGGAUCAUGAAAGCCCAGGCACUUCGGGACAACUCCACCAUGGGCUACAUGAUGGCCAAAAAGCACCUGGAGAUAAACCCUGACCAUCCUAUUGUGGAGACGCUGCGGCAGAAGGCUGAGGCAGACAAGAAUGACAAGGCGGUUAAGGACCUUGUGGUGCUGCUGUUUGAAACCGCCCUGCUCUCUUCUGGCUUUUCUCUUGAGGAUCCCCAGACCCACUCCAACCGCAUCUACUGCAUGAUCAAGUUAGGUCUAGGUAUCGAUGAAGAUGAAGUGGCAGCAGAGGAACCCAGUGCUGCAGUUCCUGAUGAGAUCCCUCCUCUUGAGGGUGAUGAGGAUGCAUCUCGCAUGGAAGAAGUAGAUUAGGAGUUUAUAGUUGGAAAACUGCCCUUGUAUAGCGUGCCCAUGACUCCCCCUGCAGCCUUGAGUGCCCCUGUCCCACCUGGCUCCCCCUGCUGAUGUCUGGUGUUUUUCUGACCUGUCCUUCGGUUGAAGGCAGGAAACAAGGGUGUUAAGCCCCCAUUCUUUCCCUACUCUGACAGCAGGUUUGGAUGUUGUGUAUUGUGGUUUUUUAUUUUGUUUGUUCAUUUUGUUCUGAAAUUAAAGUAUGCAAAAUAAAGAAUAUGCCGUUUUUAUACAAAAAAAAA